rnacentral:tRNA from 1 species
CCGUCGAUAGCUCAGUUGGUAGAGCGGUGGACUGUAGAGGCUCACGCAAUGCAGGCAUCCAUAGGUCGCUGGUUCGAAUCCGGCUCGACGGA